CAAACACAAGGAUUGUUGGUGAUGGAAUCUAUCUUUUUCUCUUUGAAUAUUUGUCAAACACCUCAGCCAUAUCCCUUAAAAAUUUCAAAAAAUUAAUCCUAAUCUGGCAAGUGCAUAGGCUUCCGAGCUCAUCUUGAUAGUAAAUACCAACAAUUACCCAACUCGAGCAUCAUGGAGAUAGAGAAGAAGAGCACUAUGCCUAUUUCUUUGCUUAAGUCAUCUCAUUCUAAUUUUAUUAUUUAUUAUUUAAUAUAGAAGUGAGGGGAAAGAGAGAGAAAGCUCUAGAAGGGAAAAGAAAGAUAGAGUAUGUGGUUUGCUAAAAAAUCUAAGUAUGACGAUUAUAUUACCCUUGAAAAUGAACAUAUUUACAAACUUGCCAUUGGUCGUCCUCCUCUUCAUGUUUCUAUAUAACUUGAUGGUUCUUGCUCGUGCUAAGCACGGCCCAACAUUUAAAACUCUGAUAUAAUUUUAAUUGUGUUUGAUCUACCUAUGAAAUAUGUUUGAGAACCAACGCAGCAAAAAAUAUUUUAAAUAACUGUAAUUUCAAAAACACAAUAUCCAACAUUUAAUAAUGGAUCACAUUUCUUAGCUUGAACAAAAAAAGAAUCCACAUCAAAUAAGAAACAAGCGAGAUGCACCAUCAUUUUUCUUUCAAGUUUCAACAAUUAGUGCAAUAGUAAAUUGGUCAAACAUUCACAAUGUAGUAUCCAAAUUCAAAGCUUAUCAAACAUAUACAUAAUAAGAAGGCAAUCGAUUAUUAUUUUAUUACAUAGAUAUUGAAUGCACUACAUAAAAUCUACUUGUAAAUCACACUUCGUCGCUAUUCUUUAAGAAUUGACAAUUUAUUCUAUGCUACAUCAUCAA
rnacentral:lncRNA from 1 species